GUGCUUGUUUCGGCAGCACACACACUCUAAUUGGAGUAAUGCUGAGAUUAGCAUGGCCCCUGUGCAAGUAUGACAUGAAAACUCAUGAAGCAUUCAAUGCAUUU